GUGGGGAUCGCCUGCACCGGUUCCCUAGAGACUCUGGCUGGCGGUGACUGAGAUGCGCGGCUCCCAGGCUGGCGCGCACCCUCUCACCGGGGACCCACUGCCACCGCGCUGGGUCGCCCCCGCCCCCCUCCCCGGGACGCCGCCGCCGCCGCACCGGAGAACUUACCAGGUUGACCGGGAUAUACAAAAAGAAAACAGAUCAGCCUCUUUCCUGAUAAGAAGAGUAACCAAGAAGGCCAUCUGCAAGAACUAAGUCGUGCACUUGAAAAGACUGGGCGUUCUGCCAUGGUUGGAUACAGUGUUCUAUUUAUGUCAAUUAGGUCAAGUUGGUCGAUAACGUCCUUACUGAUUUUCAUCUACUUAUUCUCUCAAUUACUGAGACUGGAAUGUUAAAAUCCCCAAACAUAAUUGGUGUACUGGGUUGAAUGGUGUUCUCCCCCAAAUCCAUGUCUAUCUAGAAUCUGUGAAUGUAACCUUAUUUAAAAAUAGGGUCUUUGCAUGUGUAAUCAAGUUAAGAUAAGGUCCAUCCUACUGGAAAAGAGUGGGCCCUUAUCCAUUGACUGAUGUCCCUAUAAGACUAAGGAAAUUUGGACACAGACACAAAAGGAAGGCGGCCAUGUGAAGAUGGAGGCGGAGACUGGAGAUAUGAAGCCAGAAGCUGAGGAAUGUCGGCUGGCAAUCACCAAAUGCUUUAAAUGGCAAGAAACACUCCUUCCCUAAGCCCUUCCGAGAGCAUGGCCCUGCCAACACGUUGAUUUCAGACUUCUAGCCUUUAGAACUGUAAGACAAUGAAUUUCUGCUGUAUUAAGCUCCCCCCACCUGCACCCGAAAGGAUGUUAGGACACUGUAAUAGUUACUUUGACAGAUUUCUCUGGAAUGUUUUAAAGUUUUUAGAAAGCAAAAAUGCUCCACCAUGUUAUUGAUAACAAACAAGAAAUAGAUGCUUUAGCUAGCAUGGUCUUAACUAAUAUUUUUGGGUAUAUGAAUAGGGUUAUGAAAUAGAGAUUUU